CAGCAGCCACGGUAAUACGGAGGGUGCGAGCGUUAAUCGGAAUAACUGGGCGUAAAGGGCACGCAGGCGGUUAUUUAAGUGAGGUGUGAAAGCCCCGGGCUUAACCUGGGAAUUGCAUUUCAGACUGGGUAACUAGAGUACUUUAGGGAGGGGUAGAAUUCCACGUGUAGCGGUGAAAUGCGUAGAGAUGUGGAGGAAUACCGAAGGCGAAGGCAGCCCCUUGGGAAUGUACUGACGCUCAUGUGCGAAAGCGUGGGGAGCAAACAGGAUUAGAUACCCCAGUAGUCCCUGUCUCUUAUAC
rnacentral:rRNA from 1 species